rnacentral:snRNA from 1 species
UGAGGGUGAUCUAGCCAUGAUAUCUAUCACUCAUUGAUUACCAGGGUUGAUUUGGUCUGGCUGGCUAUGCAGGUAUCCCCUGCUUCCCUCGCCAUUCAGUGUGCAUCACUUCAGACCUCCAAACUCAGAGGAAGAGAGCAACCAUCUCAGACAAAGUGUGCAAUUUUUUGGUCAAGGGUUUAAAAUA